AGAGUUUGAUCCUGGCUCAGGACGAACGCUGGCGGCGCGCCUAAUACAUGCAAGUCGAGCGUGAAGCGGGACUUCGGUCCCGUGGAAAGCGGCGAACGGGUGCGUAACACGUGAGCAACCUGCCCCGAAGACUGGGAUAACACCGGGAAACCGGUGUUAAUACCAGAUGCCCUCUUCCGACCGCAUGAUCGGACGAGGAAAUGGAUUCCGCUUCGGGAUGGGCUCGCGGUCUAUCAGCUUGUUGGUGGGGUAACGGCCUACCAAGGCGACGACGGAUAGCUGGUCUGAGAGGACGAUCAGCCACACUGGGACUGAGACACGGCCCAGACUCCUACGGGAGGCAGCAGUAGGGAAUCUUGCGCAAUGGGCGAAAGCCUGACGCAGCGACGCCGCGUGCGGGAUGAAGGUCUUCGGAUUGUAAACCGCUUUCAGCAGGGACGAAAUUGACGGUACCUGCAGAAGAAGGCCCGGCCAACUACGUGCCAGCAGCCGCGGUAAUACGUAGGGGCCUAGCGUUGUCCGGAUUUAUUGGGCGUAAAGAGCUCGUAGGCGGUUUGGUUAGUCAGGUGUGAAAUCUCCACGCUCAACGUGGAGGGGCCACCUGAUACUGCCAUGACUUGAGUCCGGUAGGGGAGUGUGGAAUUCCCGGUGUAGCGGUGAAAUGCGCAGAUAUCGGGAGGAACACCCGUAGCGAAGGCGGCACUCUGGGCCGUGACUGACGCUGAGGAGCGAAAGCGUGGGGAGCAAACAGGAUUAGAUACCCUAGUAGUCC
rnacentral:rRNA from 1 species